rnacentral:rRNA from 1 species
CCUACGGGUGGCAGCAGUGGGGAAUAUUGGACAAUGGGCGAAAGCCUGAUCCAGCCAUGCCGCGUGUGUGAAGAAGGCCUUCGGGUUGUAAAGCACUUUCAGUGGGGAAGAAAGCCUUGGGGCUAAUACCCUCGAGGAAGGACAUCACCCACAGAAGAAGCACCGGCUAACUCCGUGCCAGCAGCCGCGGUAAUACGGAGGGUGCGAGCGUUAAUCGGAAUUACUGGGCGUAAGCGCGCGUAGGCGGUCUGAUAAGCCGGUUGUGAAAGCCCCGGGCUCAACCUGGGAACGGCAUCCGGAACUGUCAGGCUAGAGUGCAGGAGAGGAAGGUAGAAUUCCCGGUGUAGCGGUGAAAUGCGUAGAGAUCGGGAGGAAUACCAGUGGCGAAGGCGGCCUUCUGGACUGACACUGACGCUGAGGUGCGAAAGCGUGGGUAGCAAACAGGAUUAGAUACCCGUGUAGUC